UGGGAUAGCUCAGUUGGUAGAGCAACUGACUCGUAAUCAGUAGGUCGUAGGUUCAAUUCCCAUUCUCAGC
rnacentral:tRNA from 1 species